GUGGGUUGGCUCAGUGGUUAGAGCGUAGGUCUCGUAAUCGAAAGGUUGCAGGAUCGAAUCCUGCUAGAGGCUGCA
rnacentral:tRNA from 1 species